GAUGAACGCUAGCUACAGGCUUAACACAUGCAAGUCGAGGGGCAGCAUGAACUUAGCUUGCUAAGUUUGAUGGCGACCGGCGCACGGGUGAGUAACACGUAUCCAACCUGCCGAUGACUCGGGGAUUGCCUUUCGAAAGAAAGAUUAAUACCCGAUGGCAUAGUUCUUCCGCAUGGUGGAACUAUUAAAGAAUUUCGGUCAUCGAUGGGGAUGCGUUCCAUUAGGUUGUUGGCGGGGUAACGGCCCACCAAGCCUUCGAUGGAUAGGGGUUCUGAGAGGAAGGUCCCCCACAUUGGAACUGAGACACGGUCCAAACUCCUACGGGAGGCAGCAGUGAGGAAUAUUGGUCAAUGGACGAGAGUCUGAACCAGCCAAGUAGCGUGAAGGAUGACUGCCCUGUGGGUUGUAAACUUCUUUUAUACGGGAAUAAAGUGAGGCACGUGUGCCUUUUUGUAUGUACCGUAUGAAUAAGGAUCGGCUAACUCCGUGCCAGCAGCCGCGGUAAAAC
rnacentral:rRNA from 1 species